GGGCGGAGGUUUUGGUUCAUAUCAUGGGAGUAGGUGUUUGGAAGUGGUAAGGCAAUCCCUGUUUUGCACCAAAAGAGGCAAACUGAACCUAAUGGAUUCUUUCUCGAAGCAGAUUCAAUGAUCUUAAUACCUGUGCGCUGGGGGUUCACUCACAUUUACAAUUAAAUGUGUCUUUUAUGAUGUUUUAGAUUAAUGAAAGUCAGAUUGGCUGACCAAUCGCAGGAUGUCUUUGAAGUUAGUUAAAACUGUUUUGCAAGUGAGCUAGUCUGGGUGUGUCAUCAUUAUGUGGAAAGUAUUGGUUUACUCUUACAUGAGAAACACUGUCUCUCUGUAUAUGUGUAUGUUUUCACUCUCACUUUUCCUUUUGUAUCUGAACUAGUGCUAAGGCAGAGGUUUUAACCCUCAUGAUCAUCAUUAUGUAUUUGGACCUUGUCAGUCAGAUGUAAGCUUCUAAUGAUGUUACAAGAUUGGAAGAUCUGUCAAAAUAGGGUUUUGUGAAUCCCUUGCAAACUUUUUUGAGCAUAUGAGUAUCACAUUGGAUCAAAACACCAUGAGUAACCACAUUCAAGUCUUUCAUUUUCCCACGAUGGUUUUUUUUUUUUUUUAAAAAGAAUGGGAUUGUGAAUUAUUAAGAUUUCACUUGCAUUGAUGUCUAUGAGGUUAUUACACACAUUCUAAUGCAUUUCUAAAAUCCAUUAGAUCAGAUCUCAUGCAUGUGCAUACAAUUUGAUUUUGUGAAUUUCAGUUAUCGUGGUUGCUUUUUCAAAUUUCAGUUGUUUCCAAUGUAAUUUGUAAAUGAAUAAUUUACUGUUCAUGUACACUUAUAAUUCUUCGCUAUUCUGCAUUACCACUUCAUUUAGCACGUGUUUUGUCUUCUUCUACGAGAAAAUGCAAGGAUUCAUGAUGGUUAGAUUGCGUCUUCUGUUCAACAAAUUACUGUCAUACAGGAGCUCUUACAAGUUACAAGCUUUCCCUCAAUGCUCUGAUCUCUAUAUUGUCCUCCUCUACCCUCUUGCUGAGUGUAUGGAUGACAUGGGUAGGGAGCCGUCACCUUGUGUGAUCUCCAGCAGCCAUUGCCUGUUUGGCUUGUCAAGUUCCUUUCUCCUAUUGAGGUAAAUAAUUAUCACUGAAGGUAGACUAGUAGGAAGGAAAGCCGAGUAAUUUAGCACAUAUGCAGGUCCAAACUAGAGGGAUGAUACUACUCAGGUUUAAUUGUGAAAUAAGUUCUUAAGACCUAUUGAUGGAAGGCUUUGACUGUUAUAAAGCAGCAAUGUCUGAUGGUUGAAAAUAAUCUCCCUGUAUUAACGCAUCAACUGGAACAAGGAAUCCUUGACUUGUGACAUACCUAACAUUUCCUGCUGUGUUAUCUUUUACCUAAUCUUUUAAUUAAAAGUUGCAUGCAGCCCAUGUUCUAAGGCUGAAAUGGCAGCUACUUUAUUAAUAUUUAUUAUGAAAUUCUAGUUUCUUGCA